rnacentral:lncRNA from 1 species
UUAAACUGUCUUCCAAGGUGUCUGCACCGUUUGCAUCCGCACCAGCCACGAGGGAGAGUUCCCAUUGCCCCACAUCCUCGCCAGCACUGGGUGUUGUCACUGUUUUGGAUUUGGGCCAUUCUAACAGGAUGCCGCUCUGAGAGCCCAAGGGUCUGCCACAGGCCUGCUGUGACAAAGCAAGGGGACCCCACGGUGAAGGCUGCAGCACAUGGCCAGGCCCGGAGCUGAGGGAAACAGCAGAAACCCAGGGUCUGUCUGCAGCUCACUCGAAGAGGAGCAGAGAUGGGGAGCAGGAAACGCAGGGCAAGUCCUUUUCCAGAACACCCUGGAGCCAGAGUUUGCCAGCUGAAGAUUCCAGCCUGGAAGGACAACAGGGCUGCCUGGACAAGCAGUGCCCACUGGAGAUGUGCAGACCCCUGCCAGUGCACCCAUGCACCCCCGUGAGGCCAGCGGUCCAUUGGUGACCCAUCAACACAACUGGGAGCGAGCAAGCCGCAGCCUUUCCCCCGUCCACACCUGGAUGAGAUCCCAGCAUCUUAGCCGUGCUGCAGCGAGGCGGACGGCCAGGCGAGCUGAGCCGCUGAGCAGCC